rnacentral:rRNA from 1 species
GACAGAGGGUGCGAACGUUGUUCGGAAUUACUGGGCGUAAAGCGCGUGUAGGCGGCUUGGCAAGUCGGGUGUGAAGGCCCUGGGCUCAACCUAGGAAGUGCACUCGAAACUGCCGAGCUGGAGUUCUGGAGAGGAAGGCGGAAUUCUCGGUGUAGAGGUGAAAUUCGUAGAUAUCGAGAGGAAAACCGGUGGCGAAGGCGGCCUUCUGGACAGUGACUGACGCUGAGGCGCGAAAGCGUGGGGAGCAAACAGG